GCGCCGGUGGUGUAAGGCGAACAUCGCUGCCCGGAAAGCCGAAGGUGCGGGUUCGAGUCCCGCCUGGCGCA
rfam:Heligmosomoides polygyrus genome assembly, scaffold: HPBE_scaffold0005856